rnacentral:tRNA from 1 species
UCCCUGGUAGUCUGGUGGUUAGGACUCCAUGCUGCCACUGCAGAGGGCACAGGUUCAAUCCCUGGUCAGGGAA